rnacentral:rRNA from 1 species
ACACAGCUAAGGGGGUUGGACUAACCCAUGCCAGUCGAGACGUUCAAGACCUCAGCGUACCGCUCAGUAACACGUGGAAAAUCUGCCCUGGAGUGGAGCAAAAUCCCGGGAAUCUGGGGGAAAUACUCCAAAGUUCGUGCAGACUGGAAUGUUAUGUGAAUGAAAGAUCCGUCGCUUCAGGAUGAUUCUGCGGCCGAUUAGGUAGUUGUUGGCCUAACCGCCCAACAAGCCUUUCAUCGGUACGGGUUGUGGGACCAAGAGCCCGGAGAUGGACCCUGAGACACGAAUCCAGGCCCUACGGGGCGCAGCAGGCGCGAAAACUUUACCAUGCGGGCCACCGUGAUAAGGAAACCCCGAGUGCCAAAACAGGCUGGCUGUCCGCCAGUGUAAAUAACUGGUGAAGAAACGGCCGGGCAAGACCGGUGCCGGCCGCCGCCGUAAUACGGGCGGAUCGAGUGGUGGCCGCUAUUACUGGGCUUAAAGGGUCCGUAGCUGGAUGUUCAUG